UACGGGGGGGCAAGCGUUGUUCGGAAUUACUGGGCGUAAAGGGCUCGUAGGCGGCCAACUAAGUCAUACGUGAAAUCCCUCGGCUUAACCGGGGAACUGCGUCUGAUACUGGAUGGCUUGAGUUCGGGAGAGGGAUGCGGAAUUCCAGGUGUAGCGGUGAAAUGCGUAGAUAUCUGGAGGAACACCGGUGGCGAAGGCGGCGACCUGGUCCGAUACUGACGCUGAGGCGCGAAAGCGUGGGGAGCAAACAGG
rnacentral:rRNA from 1 species